rnacentral:rRNA from 1 species
GACGGAAGGUGCAAGCGUUGCUCGGAAUCACUGGGCGUAAAGGGCGCGUAGGCGGGCCCGCCAGUCAGGGGUGAAAUCCCACGGCCCAACCGUGGAAGUGCCUUUGAUACUGCGGGCCUUGAGGGGGAUAGGGGCGUGCGGGAACUCAGGGUGGAGCGGUGAAAUGCGUAGAUAUCCUGAGGAACACCGGUGGCGAAAGCGGCGCGCUGGAUCCCUUCUGACGCUGAGGCGCGAAAGCCAGGGGAGCAAAGCGGGG